rnacentral:rRNA from 1 species
GUCCACGCCGUAACUAUGAUUACUCGAUGUUUGCGAUACACUGUAAGCGUCUAAGCGAAAGCGAUAAGUAAUCCACCUGGGGAGUACGCUCGCAAGAGUGAAACUCAAAGGAAUUGACGGGGCCCCGCACAAGCGGAUGAGUAUGUGGUUUAAUUCGAUGAUACGCGAGGAACCUUACCUGGGCUUGAAAGUUAGUGACCGGUCCUGAAAAGGGAUCUUCCAGCAAAUGGCACGAAACUAGGUGCUGCAUGGCUGUCGU